UACAGAGGUGGCAAGCGUUGUUCGGAAUUACUGGGCGUAAAGGGCGCGUAGGCGGCCAUCUAAGUCAGACGUGAAAUCCCACGGCUCAACCGUGGAAGUGCAUUCGAAACUGCAAGGCUAGAGUCCUGGAGAGGAAGGUGGAAUGCUUGGUGUAGAGGUGAAAUUCGUAGAUAUCAAGCGGAACACCGGUGGCGAAGGCGGCCUUCUGGACAGUGACUGACGCUGAGACGCGAAAGCGUGGGGAGCAAACAGG
rnacentral:rRNA from 1 species